CGCAAGAACGAGGUGAUAUGAAAGUUCUUUACUUUAUUCAACCUGGGAGUGGACUGGCUUUUGGAGGACUUACUGGGUGCUCUUGGUGAUUUUGAGAGCAACUGGGCUUCCGUUCGUGGCCUUGAAAAACGAAGCUCUUAUCUCAAGGGACUUUCUAGAGCACGGAAGAUCUUUCUUUCAAUGG